GGAACAAGCAUUCUCCCAUGGAGCCAGUCGUCUUGAAUUCUGCUCUCUGGGGAGGACAGAGGCCUGGCACAAGCCAUGAUCACACAGCCGAAACUCCUCCUUCACAACAAGCAGCUGCUCAGGUCGGCUACUUGCUUGGCAUCUGACUACACAGAAUGUGAUGUCUUAGAACCUUCCCUUCUAGUCUAAAAAGGCUGGAAGCAUCUUUGCAGAAGGGACUCAGCAGCCUGCAGUUUCCAAUGACAAAGAAGAGUAGGAGGAAAUUGGGACAGCUUCCAGGGGAGGAGGAUGGAAUCAAGAAAAAUGAAGUACCAAAUGACUUUUAUGAGGAAUGGCCUUGAGACAGCAGAGAAAAUGAUAGCAGUGGACGGUCCCCAGUGCCUCCCCUGUGCUAGGCACUCUGCAAAGUCGUUUUCCAACAUUCCUCUCCUCUACAUACGAACCAGCCAGUGAUCCCACAAGCCUGUUUCUACUACACUCCAUCCCCAAAGGCCCGCAAAAUACUCACUUCUCUUCUUCCACGACAUGUUCCAGGCGGGGAACCAUGAGUUCAGGAGUCAGGGGACCGAACCGAAACCUCGUGCAGCGGGACUGCAAGGCAGGGAUGAUCUUUGACAGAUAGUUACAGAUGAGGCAGAAUCUGGUAUUUUCUGUGAAUUUCUCAAUUACUAGUAAGAGAAAAUAAAACCACCUCAUGUCAAA
rnacentral:lncRNA from 1 species